GACGAAGGGGGCUAGCGUUGUUCGGAAUUACUGGGCGUAAAGCGCGUGUAGGCGGUUAUCCAAGUCGGGUGUGAAAGCCCUCAGCUCAACUGAGGAAGUGCGCCCGAAACUGCAGAGCUUGAGUGCCGGAGAGGGUGGCGGAAUUCCCCAAGUAGAGGUGAAAUUCGUAGAUAUGGGGAGGAACACCGGUGGCGAAGGCGGCCACCUGGACGGUAACUGACGCUGAGACGCGAAAGCGUGGGGAGCAAACAGG
rnacentral:rRNA from 1 species